AAUGGUUAUCACUGUCAAAGAAACCUUGUUUUUUAGGCAUGCCCCAAUGAGGAGCAGACUGUCAUGACUUGUGGGCAAGGGAAUGUACAUAGCAGGGUCCACUUACUGAUGGCUUGGACACUCACCGCACAUGCCUGCAUGUAGAUGGGCCGGGUAAUGCACAGGUGGGAUUAGAAAACCUCAGUCUGCAGUAAUCGAUCAAAUUUUUUUUCGGCAAAUGACAUAGAGUUGAGCAUCAAAUACAUAAAUAUAUAACACAUUAGAAUUACAAAGAUACAAGCUUUCAGCUAGCUGUUAGUGUGAGGGACACUUCAAGUAGAUUAUUUAUUUAUUUAUUUCAUGAAUCACUAAAAUAUAUUUCAAAAAAGAAGAAAGGAUAAUACAUCAUCAUCUUCUCAUUUUUGAAUGCACACAGACACUCCACAAACAACUUUUGCUGAAAUUUCUUUCCAUCCAUCAUGGAUUGCAUGGACUCAUUUUAAUUUUCUUAUUCUUUUGGCAAACCAGGUGAUGAUUGUGGAAAUCAGUCCUCUACUUGUCAAUGAUUUGUAUUUUCUGGAAGAAUUAUAUACAUGAUUGUUGUGGUCACAACAUUUCUUCGGUGGUAUUUUACUUAAACUUUAAUCAGAAUUGCAACAUGGGUUUGCAAGGAAGCAACCGGCUCCGACAAUGCCAAAGACCCAACAUUCCUUUUAUUGUUUUGUUGUCAUAAAAAAAAAUUAAAUUCAGUUAGUCCAGUUAUCUAUUUUUAUGAAUUAUUAUUGUAUUAUUUUCUUUCCAAAAAUCAGGUCUCCGCCAAAACUUGUGGAUGUGACAAUGGUUGCAACUGGCAUCAUUCUGGGUCCAUAUGCUUUCACUUGCAGAAAUUGCUACUAAAUGGAAGUGUACUUUAAGCUGAACAUCGUUAAAUACCUGUUGGAAGGUAUAUCUUCAAAUUAUCAGUUCAUCUCUUGUAAUUGACAAGAAUUUUGUUCUUUUAAUUGGUUGGUUAUUUGUUCCAAUGCAAACUAGUAAAUAUGCAGAAUUCCACUUGUCAAAUUUUUUUUUUUUUUGUAGAGGCCAAAGUGCUUCAUUGUUGUAUGAACAAAAUAGGAAGUCAAACAAGUGAAGUUCAUUGGGAUAUCUAAAACAGUUUAAAUUCAUUUUUAAAGAAAUGGGUUUGAUUGAAUUGUUCCAUUUCAAUCGGCAAAUGUCACAUUGCCAUGCAUAUCCAUCAUGUCUUGCAGGUAUGCAAGGAUGAGUUCUACAUUAUGAAAGGUUGGCCGACCUAUUUUGUACUCUAUAUGUGAAUGGUAAGUGCAUGUUCAACUAAAAGUUACACGCUUCGGCAAUAAGCCAAUAAUAGCUCAUUCAUUGGUUGUAUCUCUUUUAUGCUUCCUAUUUCAAUGUAUGGAGCACACGUAUGUGCUUUUUGUGCUUUCUCAGAUUUUGGGGUGAGCGUCCCUAUCUUUAGUUAGUCUUCUUUAUAAGAUUUCUGUUUUUGGGCUAUAUGGAUAUUCUCAGUUUUCCAUUUUGGUGCCUUAGAAAUAGUUGAUGAUUACUCACAGGUAAUAUAUCAAUGUUCUAAUCCUUCGGUAGGUACCUCUAUUGCUCAUACUUUGAUGAAGUCCACAGUGGCUGCGUCUAGUAAACAGAGAAUUAGAUGGACUAGGGAACUGCACGGGCAAUUUGUUAAAGCUGUCAACCAUCUUGAAGGUGUGGCGAGCAGGCUGACAAGCUAAAGGAGUCAUUGGAGGAUGAAAUUCAUUUUCUCAAGGGAAGGGUUUCAGAACUUGAAAGUAAUCUUGUGUUAAAGUCCACAGAAAUUACAUCUGCAGUUUCAGGGAAAGAAGAAACUCUAUCUUCUGUAUUUGCUAAAAUUUACCAUUUGAAGGAAGAAAAUUCUGUAAAAAUGUGAGCAUUAUUGCAUUAUAUGGAGGGUGUUUACUGUGUUGGAGUGUAUUUGUUUCUUGCACAUGAGGGCAUGCCUUAGUUGUAAUUCUUAUGAUAGGUUGAGCAAAGUGAAGUAUUGUUUAUUUAGAAAUGUGAAUGUGGGAUGCAUUGUAUGAUUUGAUUGCUAUUUGUAAUAAAUGCAUCAUUUUUUUU